rnacentral:rRNA from 1 species
AACGAACGCUGGCGGCAUGCCUAACACAUGCAAGUCGAACGAGACCUUCGGAUCUAGUGGCGCACGGGUGCGUAACGCGUGGGAACCUGCCCUUAGGUUCGGAAUAACUCCCCGAAAGAGGUGCUAAUACCGGAUAAUGUCUUCGGACCAAAGAUUUAUCGCCUUUGGAUGGGCCCGCGUUGGAUUAGCUAGUUGGUAGGGUAAAAGCCUACCAAGGCGACGAUCCAUAGCUGGUCUGAGAGGAUGAUCAGCCACACUGGGACUGAGACACGGCCCAGACUCCUACGGGAGGCAGCAGUGGGGAAUAUUGGACAAUGGGCGAAAGCCUGAUCCAGCAAUGCCGCGUGAGUGAUGAAGGCCUUAGGGUUGUAAAGCUCUUUUAACCGGGAUGAUAAUGACAGUACCGGGAGAAUAAGCUCCGGCUAACUCCGUG